rnacentral:rRNA from 1 species
UUUCCGUAGGUGAACCUGCGGAAGGAUCAUUACCGAGAUCAUGCCCUCACGGGUAGACCUCCACCCUAUGUUUACUACACCUCGUUGCUUUGGCGGGCCGCUUCGGCUACCGGCUUCGGCUGGUACGCGCCCGCCAGGGAACCAACAACCCUGAAUUUUCGUGUCGUCUGAGAAAAAACAUAAUAUUAAAACUUUCAACAACGGAUCUCUUGGCUUUGGCAUCGACGAAGAACGCAGCGAAAUGCGAUAAGUAACGCGAAUUGCAGAAUUCAGUGAGUCAUCGAAUCUUUGAACGCACAUUGCGCCCCUUGGUAUUCCGAGGGGCAUGCCUAUUCGAGCGUCAUUAUCACCCUUCAGGCUUCGGCCUGGUGUUGCGGCCUGCCGUCAAGGCACCCUCUAAAAUCAGUGGCGGCGCCCUCUGGCUCUAAGCGUAGUAACAUACCGCUAUGGGGUCCCGGGGACGCUCGCCAGAACACCCAACUUCUUAAUGAUUGACCUCGGAUUAGGUAGGGAUACCCGCUGAACUUAAGCAUAUCAAUAAGCGGAGGAAAAGAAAC